GAUGAAGAACGCAGCGAAAUGCGAUAAGUAAUGUGAAUUGCAGAAUUCAGUGAAUCAUCGAAUCUUUGAACGCACCUUGCGCCCUUUGGCUAUUCUGAAGGGCAUGCCUGUUUGAGUAUCAUGAACACCUCAACUCUCAUGGUUUGCCAUGAUGAGCUUGGACUUUGGGGGUCUUGCUGGCCUACGGUCAGCUCCUCUCAAAUGAAUCAGCUUGCCAGUGUUUGGUAGAGGCGCAGGUGUGAUAACUAUCUACGCUUGUGGUUUUCUGCCAGAUAACCUUCAGUGAUGGAGGUUCGCUGGAGCUUAUAAAUGUCUCUCCCCAGUGAGGACAGCUUUUUGAACGUUUGAUCUCAAAUCAGGUAGGACUACCCGCUGAACUUAAGCAUAUCAAUAAGCGGAGGA
rnacentral:misc_RNA from 1 species